rnacentral:tRNA from 1 species
GGGGAUGUAGCUCAGUGGUAGAGUGUUUGCUUUGGUGCAUGAGGCACUGGGUUCGAGCUCAGUAUCACCA